UAAGGAAUAUUGGACAAUGGAGGCAACCCUGAUCCAGCCAUGCCGCGUGAAGGAAUAAGGCCCUAUGGGUUGUAAACUUCUUUUAGACGGGACAAAACCCCUUUACGUGUAAAGGGUUGAUGGUACUGUCAGAAUAAGCAUCGGCUAACUUCGUGCCAGCAGCCGCGGUAAUACGAAGGAUGCAAGCGUUAUCCGGAAUUAUUGGGUUUAAAGGGUGCGUAGGCGGACUAAUAAGUCAGUGGUGAAAGCCUGCAGCUUAACUGCAGAAUUGCCAUUGAUACUGUUAUUCUUGAGUACAGUUGAGGUAGGCGGAAUGUGUCAUGUAGCGGUGAAAUGCUUAGAUAUGACACAGAACACCAAUUCCGAAGGCAGCUUGCUAAGCUGUAACUGACGCUGAGGCACGAAAGCGUGGGGAGCAAACA
rnacentral:rRNA from 1 species